rnacentral:rRNA from 1 species
AUACGGAGGGUGCAAGCGUUAAUCGGAAUUACUGGGCGUAAAGCGCGCGUAGGCGGUUUGAUAAGUCGGAUGUGAAAUCCCCGGGCUCAACCUGGGAAUUGCAUUCGAUACUGUCAGGCUAGAGUGUGGUAGAGGGAAGUGGAAUUUCCGGUGUAGCGGUGAAAUGCGUAGAUAUCGGAAGGAACACCGGUGGCGAAGGCGGCUUCCUGGACCAACACUGACGCUGAGGUGCGAAAGCGUGGGGAGCAAACAGGAUUAGAAACCCCAGUAGUCC